rnacentral:rRNA from 1 species
GUGGCCCUACGGGACGCAGCAGUGGGGAAUAUUGGGCAAUGGACGCAAGUCUGACCCAGCAACGCCGCGUGAAGGAAGAAGGCUUUCGGGUUGUAAACUUCUUUUAAGGGGGAAGAGCAGAAGACGGUACCCCUUGAAUAAGCCACGGCUAACUACGUGCCAGCAGCCGCGGUAAUACGUAGGUGGCAAGCGUUGUCCGGCUUUACUGGGUGUAAAGGGCGUGCAGCCGGAGAGACAAGUCAGAUGCGACAUCCACGGGCUCAACCCGUGAAC